GUGUCAGCAGCCGCGGUAAUACGUAGGGGGCGAGCGUUGUCCGAAGUUACUGGGCGUAAAGCGCGCGUAGGCGGUCAUUUAAGUCUGAGGUGAAAGGUUCAGCGCUCAACGUGAACAGUGCCUUGGAUACUGGGUGACUUGAGUUCGGGAGGGGGCAGUGGAAUUCCAGGUGUAGCGGUGAAAUGCGUAGAUAUCUGGAGGAACACCGAUGGCGAAGGCAGCUGCCUGGCCCAGAACUGACGCUGAGGUGCGAAAGCGUGGGGAGCGAACGGGAUUAGAUACCCCGGUAGUCC
rnacentral:rRNA from 1 species